GGCUGCAUUGAUUUUUUUAUAGUUUCUUCUUGCAUCCUUACGUUUUUCUUCUUGCACCCCACAAUGUUAUGCAAAGAUAAAAUUUUUCCUAUUAUUUUUAAAAAUCUUAAAAGGCAUUUAAGACCUACACUAUUAUUUUCUUAUUCCUUUGCUACAGAUUGCACAACCACACUCCACAGACUCCAUUCCUCUCUCAGCGGCAUUGUUCAAUCUCGUGUUUCUGUUGGUGGUUUAGGUGGUGUCUCGAUAACUUGGUGGGAGAAGAGUGAUUUCUCUUGACGGUUCCCUGGAUAAGAAGGUAAGUAUUUCGGAUUUGUAGUUCCAUUUUAUCUUCAGAUUUUUCGUUUUUGCAGUUUAUAUGUAUUAUUCCAGACAAUGCAGUUCGGUAGUUUAACAGAAUAGAGAAUCCGUAUCUUUUUUUCGCAUUUUGGAUUAUGGAAUCUGCAGAAAUUUCAGAUUGGGGAAUUAGUAAAUGUACCGGAUUGAUGCUUCCAGUAACAAUUCCGGAUUGAUUCUUCUGGUAACAUUCUGAAUUGGUGCUUCCGAUAAUUAUGUGUUUUCAAUCAAGGUUUUCUUUUUUUUCUUAAUCAUGCAGAUUCACUACCAAGUUUAAGGUGAUAAGGGUAUUUAAGCAAAUUGACAUUUUCUUGCCCCUGAUUUAAUGAGAUGAAAUAGUUAAUCUGAUCAUCCAUUAUCUCUUUUUUUUUAAAGUUUUUUCUUUACUUUACUGCUUGUGGGACCUGAUUUUUGUUGAAUUUGAUCAGAAUCUAUUCUGAAAUUUGUAUUGGCUCGAGCUAGAAGAGUUUUGGGGUUGGACUAGUAUGCACUCAUUCAUUAGUUGUAACCAAACUUGCAAUAUAUUUUUUCAAUUAAGGUUUUCUUUUUUCUUAAUCAUGCAUAUUUUCUAUCAUUUUACUAAGGAUUAAUUCCAGUGGAGAUAAUAAAUUUAAUUAAGGGAAAAACUUUGUUAAACUAUUUUUUUAUUAGUAACACUUUAAACAUUAGAGUUAGACUAUUAAAUAUUUUGUCAGAAAGGAAUCCUAGUCCACGCCACUUAAACCAAUUUCAUUGGUUUUAUAUGCUUUAGGACGACUUCAAGCAUUUCAAUCAAGAUAAUACAUUUUUUUAAAUAAGUGAUUUAGUUUCUUUAGUUUUGAUUGUUUAAAUGAAAUUCUUAUUUGUUUUUAAAUGAGUGAUGUACUUUAUAAAAUAGUAAAAUUUAGUUUCACACUUUAUUUGUAGUUAAAUUUAUAACUAUAAUGUUAGAUGAUUAACAUUCUAGAUUGGUGGAUCUGUAGUAGGUUUUUGGAUUUUCGAAUACGUAAUGUGCAUUGUUUGUAAUUUGAUUUAACUUGAAUGGUGUAAUUGAACAAAAAUGGUGAAGACUAGGGGAAGAGGUUCACAAGGUGAUCAUCUAUGUCCCACAACCUCUGUUCGAAGAAGAAGAAGAUAUGUUAAUGAAGAAGAAGACAUGUUAAUGAAGAUUAAGAACAUGUUAAACAUGAAGAUGCAGAACAUGUUGAACCUGAAGAAACCGAACCCUAAAUGGAGGUGGAGGAUGAAGGCGCACCUCAAGUAGAAGGUGAAGGUUAUCCCGGAGGUCUAGUGGAUGGGUUACUGUUGACCAUGUGGCCAAGCAAUUUAGUUGACGAUGACAUGUACGGUGAUGAUGAUAAUUUUAGUUGUUGCUAUGUUUUUGUAAUUUCAUGAAGAAACACUUAGUUUGCAUUUUUUUUAAUUUGAUGAAGGAACAAUUUGUUUACAUUUUUUAUGAAUUUGAUGAAGGAAU
rnacentral:lncRNA from 1 species